AGUCAAAAGAACUUUAAAAAUUACAGAAAUAUAACUUUGUCUCAAAUGUCACCUCCUCCUUGAUAAACACCAAAAGUUAUCCAAGAAAUGCCUUCUGCCUACUUUUACUGCAUGAUAGUUUAACAGCCUUCUGGUCUAUUCAGCACUUGCGUAUUUUCUCCUUAGGAAAACUUUAUGUUACCAUAUUAUUUAUCCUCUUGCUGUGAUGGAAGAAGUUUACAAUUACAAAUAAGGAGACUAGAUCCUACUUUCAGCACUAUCACUGAGUGACCCUAUAUUCAAGACUACCAAGGACUGUCCCCAUUUGUGUCUGUUGUCCUAAUAUAACACUCAAAGGUAUCUCAGACUGAAGAGAAAUCAUGAGCAUGCUACUAAUCUCAGACUGAAGAGAAAUCAUAAGCACGCUACUACUUGUGGCUCAAGUUCACAUGGCUCAAAGAAGUCACAAAACUUCUCUGGAACUCAGUUUCUUCUUUGGCCAAAUGAGAAUAACCUCCACACUACAAUUUGUGAUUGUAGGAGAUCACAUAGGUGAAAGAUCUGCAAAAGUUCUAUAUAGAUCCGUUAUUGUUAGUAAGAAUACAAAAGAGAUCCAAAUACAUUUUAAGAAAGAGGAGCUAGCACUGUCACCCUAUAGCUUGCUUUUGCAUGAUUCCAAAAGUCUAAACAGAUAUCAUGGAAAGUCAUUUAGAUGAUCCCUACAGCCCUCUUCAACACUAGAAAUGCUAUUAUCAUAAUCAUUCUAGCAUGGUAUCCAACUACAUUGGCAUAUCACUUAUAUGGUAUCCAUCAAACAGGUUACUCCCUGAACUUAUGAAUUCCUGGACUCCAAUCAUAGUCAUAAAUCCAGCUUGCAAACUUCUCUGACUGGACAGCAUGAUUUUUUAUUUUCAUUUUUCAAUUAUUUGCCCAUUUUUUAAAAUAAGAUUUCACAUAAGAAUUCUAAUUUCUGUUUUCUCUUGAAAAACUAGUUUAUCGGGCAUCUUGGGGCAAUAAUCUGGUAGGAGCUGGUAACAGUUCUCCUUUUAGGAAUCACAUGUAAGGUCCAGCUUACCAGAGUCCUCAUCUAGUUUGCUUCACAGAUUUAUGUUACCUGCCUACUUGGUGCAGGGAUUUGAGUGUGCUCCUCAAAUGUACAAAGAACGCAUGGCCACAUCUAUUGAUAUAACUCAACCUGUUACUUUCUAUCCCUAAAUAUGUUUCCCCAAACACCUCCUCAUUUAUCAACAAAAUUGAGACCAUGAAAUGCCAUGUUGGUUGCUUAUUCAAAAGGAUGACAAGAAUUCUUAUUCCUACACUAUUUUUUAUUUAGAUACAUAAAGAAAAUACUAAAACAUAGCAACUGAAGGUUUAAAUGAGGAAUUGAGGGAUCCCUGGGUGGCGCAGCGGUUUGGCGCCUGCCUUUGGCCCAGGGCGCGAUCCUGGAGACCCGGGAUCGAAUCCCACAUCAGGUUCCCGGUGUAUGGAGCCUGCUUCUCCCUCUGCCUAUGUCUCUGCGCCUCUCUCUCUGUGACUAUCAUAAAUAAAUAAAAAUUUAAAAAAAUAAAUAAAUAAAUAAAUGAGGAAUUGGAAGUUGGAUUCUAUUUAAUUUUGUAAUUUAUUUCCUAACCCCUGACAUGGCUUCAAGUCAUUUAAAAAUUUUUAAACUUUACCAGCUUGAAAGUGGAAGAACCAGCGAGGUAACAUCUAAGUCUGGGAAGAAUCAGAAAAUAAUACUUAGUUAUGUCUAAUGAAGAAUGUAUUAUGUAGCAAAAUCUGAGAAACUCCAUAUGUGUACUAACCUAUUUAAGAAAACUAUCAAGUUGGUUAUUUCUAUAGAUACUGCCAUGCAAAGAAAAAAAUUAAUAUACUAAAAAGAAUUAAAAGAGAUAUGUGUAUAUCUAUGUCCAUAUUCACAAUAGCAAAAAGGCAGAAGUAAUACAAAUGUCUAUUGAUGGAUGAACAGAUUAAAAAAAUGUAGUAUAUGCAUACAACAGAAUAUUAUUCAGCCUUAGAAAGGAAAUUCUGAACCAUGGUACAACCUGGAUAAAUGCUGAGAACCUUAUAGUAAAUGAAAUAAAUCAGUCACAAAAAGACAAAUACUAUAUCUUAUAUGAGAUACCUACAGUAGUCAAAUUCAUAGAGACAGAAAGUAGAACGAUGGUUUCAGGAACUACAGGGAAGGAAAAAUGGUGAGUUUUUGUCUAAUGGGUAGAGAUUUUCAGUUUUUCAAGAUGAAAACUUGUGGAGAUUCGUUGCACAACAACGUAAAUGUCCUAAAAAGUACUAAGUUGCACAUUUUAAAUGGUGAACUGAUGGCAAAAUUUUUUAUAUGUAUUUUACCUCAAUUUAGAGAUUUUAAAAAUAUAUACCUGUAUGUAUGUAUGUACAUAUAUAUACGUGUAUAUAUACACACACACAUAUAUUUUUUUUACAGGUAUAUAUAUACUUGUAAAAAGGGGUGAAAAAAACAGAGAUGAAAGAGAUAAUAAAAAUUAUAAAUUUUAAUUAUAAUAUAAAUUAAAUUAUUUUUCAAAAUAUUUAAGGAAAGAGAAAAAAGAAACCAAUCAAAUGUAACAUCACAUUGUAGCAGACAGGGGUAAAAUUCAGUAGGAGGGGGAAGCACUUCCAGAAUAGCCAAGUAAGAACCUCUCAAAAUCUACUCCUCCAUAAAAGCAUAAAAGCUGUACUACCAAAAAUUGUCAAUAUCAACUUUUUCAAAAUUAUGGAAAUUAACAAAAGGCUUACAACAUUACAAUGAUAAUUUUAUCAUGAAAAAUGGCUGAGUCUCAAUAAGAACACUGAGCUUUGUGGGAUUUUAAUUUUCCCUAUUUCCAUCACUCUCUCCCUAGCAUCACAGUCCCCAGCAUCCCUGCAGCCAUGGGGACUGAGAAAAACAGCACUCUAGCAGUCCCUGAGAAGGCAAAAUGGGACUGGAGCUCCCUAAAAAGGCCCCCUCCCAGAGAACUGUCAUUAUUUGAACUGGCAGAUAUCUGGAAAAGCCCCAUCUCAGGACUUGUGUUUACUGGACCUAACUCAGAGAUCACUCAAUGGGAAAAAACUCUAGCCCCUCAGCAUUUGUUAAAAACAAUUGUUUAACACUGAAAACACCUAAAGCACUAAUACAGGGUGUGUGUGUGGGGGGGGGGGGUUGUGCAGGGAAGCUAACUAAAAAAAAGGAAAAAUUUGAGGAAGGAGAUGUCCAUAGAAGGACUUGAAAAGCUUUGACAUUCCUUGGGAUCUAGAAGGCCACAUACAUGUGCAGCACUACAUGCAUAUACAGUAAGUACCUGAGAAGACCCUAAUCUUUCACCUCUGGCUGACACUGAGUCUCUGUGCCUGCAGCAAUUGAAGGCUACCACUGAGCUGUCAAUGGCAUGGCUGAUUGUUGAAGGUGUAGCCCAACAUGCACCUGGAACUUCUCUGCACAUACUGAAAGAUUUCUUCAUUCCAGGCACUUAAGAAAAUUUCUGUCAAAUCAUUAGCUGACCACUAACGUAAAUAAGCAGA
rnacentral:lncRNA from 1 species